CGUGGGCGCGCGGGAGAGCGCGGAUGGCCUUUCAGGCAUGAUCCGCCGCCGAAGGAGCAACCACCCCGGAAUCUCUCAGGCAGCAGGGACCGCGCAUACCCA
rfam:Sphingomonas sp. Ag1 JX01_contig_12, whole genome shotgun sequence.